GGAAAAAGAAGUGAAUCUGCGGAGAUUUCUUUUAACUGGAGUAUUGCCCAAGGUGGAUGUUUUGCUGCUGCCCAUGAAAAAUAAGUGUGAUUUUCACCCUCCAGCUGCAAAUAGGAACAAGUAUCAUUUGUAAGGGAGUUGUGGAUCUUUCAUAAUGCAAUGUUGUUUCAGGUGGAUUGACCUAAGCCUGAGAACAUUAAGCUUCCCAUCCUUUCCAGAAGCAAAGGUGUAUUCCAACAGUUCAGACCACUUCAGCUAUUCUUGCAUGAAGAAUGUGCUGAAGAUUAUUUCAUCCUGAAUUUUGUUGUGAUCUAGAAACAUGGAGAAAGAACUACAAGAACAACCACGUUUCUUUUCAGUGAUGUCCUUGUGUAACAUGGAGCUUUUAUUUUAACUUGAAAAUUCAUUCAGGCAUGAUUUAGGGUUAUUGAAGUAGUAAGAUCUGCUAGAAGACAAUGGAAGCAAAAAGAAGAAAUUAGAGCAGAAGAAAAUGAGGAACAGAGAAUGUGGAAAAAUUCCAGGAAUGAGAAAGAGACAGAAAACACAGAAGAAAGGCGGUAUAGACAGAAAAGAAAACUGUCUUUAACUAUUAUUGAGCAGGUAAUCUCUUUCAAAUUCUGGAAGAAAUAGAACCAAAGUUGAUGAGAGGCUUUUCCUUCAAUUAUUUAAGCUGCUUGUUUUUAAAACGCUAAAUGUAUUAGUGUAUGAGAAAACUUUAAAUGAAAAAAAACAUUAAGGAAGACAUGUACAUUGUACUUUAUUUCCUCUUUUUUCCUGUGUAAAAUAAAACAGUUAACGUUAAGAAUAUGAAAAACCUUAUUAAAACAGA
rnacentral:lncRNA from 1 species